UACGUAGGUGGCAAGCGUUGUCCGGAAUUACUGGGUGUAAAGCGCGUGUAGGCGGGAGGCCAAGUCUGCUGUGAAAUCGCUCGGCUCAACUGGGCGGGGUCGGUGGAAACUGGUCACCUGGAGGACGGUAGAGGCGAGUGGAAUUGCCGGUGUAGUGGUGAAAUGCGUAGAGAUCGGCAGGAACACCCAGGGGGAAACCAGUGGACUGGGCAGGAGCUGACGCUCAGGUGCGAAAGCGUGGGGAGCGAACCGG
rnacentral:rRNA from 1 species